UAGGAUAUAGCUCAGUGGCAAAGUGCUUGCCUAGCAAGUAAAAUGUUCUGGGUUUGGGCCCCAGUACCUCAA
rnacentral:tRNA from 1 species